rnacentral:rRNA from 1 species
GAAAGUAAAUAAGGGCGUAUGGGGAAUGCCUAGGCUCUUGGAGGCGAAGAAAGACGUGGUAAGCUGCGAAAAGCUCCGGGGAUUUGCAAACAAGAUUUGAUCCGGAGAUUUCUGAAUGGGACAACCCGUCAGGUAGAAGACCUGACACAUCGUAAGAUGGGCCAACCCUCUGAACUGAAACAUCUUAGUAGGAGGAGGAAAAGAAAGAAACAUCGAUUUCCUGAGUAGCGGCGAGCGAAAGGGAAAAAGCCUAAACCGGUAUUGUUACGGCAAUGCCGGGGUUGUAGGACUGCAACAUUCAAGUAACAAUGAACUGGAACGAUCUGGAAAGUUCGUCCAUAGAGGGUGAAAGGCCCGUACAGGUAAGUUCGUUAUGCGAUAGCAGUAUCCUGAGUAGGGCGGGACACGAGGAAUCCUGUCUGAAUCCGCCGGGACCACCCGGUAAGGCUAAAUACUCCCAAGAGACCGAUAGUGAACCAGUACCGUGAGGGAAAGGUGAAAAGAACCCCGAACAGGGGAGUGAAAUAGAACCUGAAACCAUACGCUUACAACCGGUCGGAGCAGUUUCGUGCUGUGACGGCGUGCCUAUUGAAUAAUGAGCCUACGAGUUACUAAUCACUGGCGAGGUUAAGUGCACGGAUGCACGGAGCCGAAGCGAAAGCGAGUCUGAACAGGGCGGCUAGUCAGUGGUUGUAGACGCGAAACCUUGCGAUCUACCCUUGAGCAGGUUGAAGGUUGGGUAAAACCAACUGGAGGACCGAACGAAUAAGCGUUGAAAAGCUUCUCGAUGACUUGAGGGUAGGGGUGAAAGGCUAAUCAAGCUGGGAAAUAGCUCGUACUCCCCGAAAUGCCUUUUGGGGCAGCGUUGUAAUAAAGAGUCUACUGGAGGUAGAGCUACUGAUUGGAUGCGGGGGCUUCACCGCCUACCAAAUCCUGACAAACUCCGAAUGCCAGUAGUAUGAUUUACAGCAGUGAGUGACUGGGUGCUAAUGUCCAGUCGCAAAAGAGGAACAACUCAGACCAGCAACUAAGGUCCCGAAGAAUAUGCUAAGUUGAUCUAACGAUGUUUUGUUGCAGAGACAGCUAGGAUGUUAGCUUGGAAGCAGCUAUUCAUUCAAAGAGUGCGUAACAGCUCACUAGUCGAGCGACAGAGCGUGGAUAAUAAACGGGCAUCAAGCAUAUCACCGAAGUUCUGGGCGCGAGAGCGCGGUAGGGGAGCAUUCCAUUCAGCGUCGAAGCAGUUUCGUGAGGAAUUGUGGAGCGUAUGGAAAAGCAAAUGUAGGCAUGAGUAACGAUAAUGCGGGAGAGUAACCCGCACACCGCAAGACCAAGGUUUCCUGAUCAACGCUAAUCGGAUCAGGGUUAGUCGGGUCCUAAGGGUAAGCCGAACGGCGAUCUCGAUGGAUAAUCGGUUAAUAUUCCGAUACUAACAUAUACCUCGAUGGAGAGACGAAGGAACGUAAGUGCCGCCACCUGACGGAAUAGGUGGUUAAAGGGCGUAGAUAUAGGGGCAGAUUAAGAGUUAGUCCUUGCUGAAACCUGACAGUACAGAGAGCCUACGGGCAAUUUGAUAGAGCACCCAAGUCGACUUCCGAGAAAAUCUUCUAAGUUAUAGUAUAUGUUACCCGUACCGUAAACCGACACAGGUGGUCGAGGAGAGUAUCCUAAGGUGCUCGAGUGAAUCACGGUUAAGGAACUAGGCAAAUUAACCCCGUAACUUCGGGAAAAGGGGUCCCUAUGAAAGUAGGGCGCAGCGAAGAGGUCCAGGCGACUGUUUAUCAAAAACACAGGGCUCUGCAAAUUCGAAAGAAGACGUAUAGGGCCUGACACCUGCCCGGUGCUGGAAGGUUAAGAGGGGAUGUCAUCGCAAGAGAAGCAUUGAAUCGAAGCCCCAGUAAACGGCGGCCGUAACUAUAACGGUCCUAAGGUAGCGAAAUUCCUUGUCGGGUAAGUUCCGACCUG